rnacentral:tRNA from 1 species
GAUUCCUUAACUUAAUCGGUAAAGUGUAUCUUUGAUAAAGAUAUGAUCAGUGUUCGAUUCACUGAAGAAUCA